CACCCACUUAAGGCUGUGAUCAGAAGAGGACGAGAGAGACCUACAGCCUGCAGGAUUGCCACCUUAGGGACUGCUUAUGAACAAGCCGAGCAUCCCGGCUUUCCAGUGGACUGCUCAGCCAGCAGGGCUUCUACUGCCAUGGGGAGCAAUAUGAGGAGGCAGACACCUGGGAGAGCACUGAUAACCAUCUCCUCCCCACACUAAAAGCUGUGAGGCCAAAGAGAGGGAAUUACUGUUGGGACUGGGAAAGGCUUGUCCUUGCCUUCUGGGCCAUGUAGUCCUUACAUCAUGAGGUUACACAUCUUUCCAUCUUCUUUCCAUCUGUCUUUGGGGGACAUCCUGUGCCUCCCAUUUCUCUUCAUGCAUUUUUUCCCCCCCUGGAAAUACGCUUUUGUGGCGUGCACUCUGCUGUGCCCGUUCCUUUGUGAUCUGCACGUCGUGCCGAGCACAGCUAAGACCAAGGCAGCUAAAUGCAGCUUUGGUUUCCUCGGCCAUAAGCAUCCUUACCUCCAUGCUUUGGAAGGCAGAGAGUGUCUCCAUCCUCCACGCCUCAUACACUUCCCUGACAAAAAGCAUGAGUGACUGCUGAGGCUUGAGGCAGUGCCCGUGGACUUGGGAGCACAUAGACCACCCUGGCCCAAGGCAUGCUGCCCCAGCAGCUCCAUUGUAUCACAUAUCCAUUGCAGAUGAUGUUGGCCUGGUUUUUGAUCCCAUUUCCUCUUCUGGAUGGCAUGAGGCCAUGCAGGCUGGAGCUAAACUGCCUGUGCUACAGCUGGUUGUGCAUCUCCCUCCACCUCAGCAAUAACACAUAAACCUCGGCUUGUAUCUUGUGUCUCAGGGGUUACACCGAAGAGACAGGCAGAUGUGCCAUCAAUAGAUUAAGGUCUCAGGAAGAACCACAACAACCACAGAUGCUGUAUUUUGUCCUACUACUGUUCUAAUUCCCCAGGCAUUUGCUAUACACCCAUGGCCACCAAGGUUUUGUAUUCCAGUUCUUGUCAACCCCUGUUAUUGAGGCAAAGCCAUGUGUGAAUGGAUGUAACCUGAGGAACCAAACCCCACCGCUCUCUUGCAGCGGUUUCCACACUACCUCUGGACUUCCAUAAACAGAAUGAAUGCCUUUAAAAUUGCAGCCAUUCAAAUGGAAAAUACUGCUGAACAACUCUGACAUAGAACAAAAAUAAAGAUGGCAGAAUUACAAUUGCGGAGCAGGAAACCCUGAACAUUUUAUCAGCCUCUAGAAAGCUCUAGGAACAAAUAAUAACUCUCAAAACACAACCCUGGAAACAUUAAAAAAAAGAAAAAAGAAAAAAAAGAAAAUAUUGCGUUCCAAAUUAUUACACCAGUCAAAUCUGAGCCACUUUUGCUGGGUGCUCGUCCUCCCUGCUGAUCUGAAGCCAUGUGGGAAAAUACUAUUCAUCUGUCAAUGGCAUGACAAACCUGGAAAGAGACCCCGUGAGAAGUUGUCUGCUCGCACUCCUUGAUUAAACAAGAGCUUUGAGCAAACAGACCUGGCCUCGGUUGCUAAAUCAUACAUCUUCUUCACUAAAUGGAAAGAGGACAAGAGAGAAAACACUGCUCUGAGCUCAUUAUUUCCAGACUUUCAGCUGUCAAAACACUACACAGUAUCCCCGUAACCUGAGAAAAGGGCCAGAGAGUUCAGGUCCAAGGUCUAGGUUCCCUAACCAUGCAAAGCCAGAGCCCAAGACAUCAGGGGUAUUUGGUCUCCUGUGCCUCCCUAGCUCGGAGGGAUGCACUCACCUACACACCCCAAAGCACUAGCCCUGGAAAUGCUUUUCCAGUGGAAUGCUUGAUUCCCUGCCCCUGAGGGUCAUUGCUAUAACAUCUCUCAGCAGAAACAAUUCUCAACAAGGGGGGAAGAAAAAAAAAAAAAAAGAAAAAAAAAAAAAAAGAGGCGAGAGAGAAAAACCACAAAAAGAUGCUUAAGCAACACAGGAUUUUCUACAAAUCCACCAAGUUAUUUUUAGACUCUCCUUUAGGAUGCAAGCACAACAGCCCAUUUCAAGGCCCUGUGUCCUUCAUCUCUCCUGGGAAUAGACCUGCAACACUGGCAAGGUAAGGGCAGGUGGAAGCUUUGUGAGCCGAGAGCUGAUGAAACUUGGGCUCUGAUAGAUGGCUUUUCAUGGCUGGUUACAGCUGACAGCUUCAUGCGGCGGAUGGAGCGCUUCUGGUCUCUUCUGUGUGUGGACUUGAGGGCAUGGAGAAAAUGUGGAGUCAGUAGGAAGUCAAGGAAGGAUCUAUUCAAGUGUGGCCAAGACAAGCAGCAUGUGUAUACCGAGCCUGUUUGCUCAGACUCUUCUAGCUAUGAAGUGUUCUGCAGAAGGCACUGGUAUUCAGUAGUCAGGAUAAACACAAGCAGGAUAAGACCCACAGCCUUUUCAGUCCUGCAGCCUGGUGCUGGAUAGAAGCUUCUGCCCUGGAUAGGGGCUUCUCCAUCCUCCCCACAGCUAAACACCAAGGUGGGCACCAACAAGGUGGUAUUCAAAAGCUGCCUGGCCCAAAGGACCGCUGCUCUUCCAGUCUCCCUGCAUUCCUGGAACACAUUUGGAGCGCCAUGUGGUCUGCUCUGCUUCUCACACACUGCGUGAUGAACUGCACAUACAUCAAAAUGCAUGUGCACAACAGCAAUAAUGAGCAUGGAGUGAGCAAAGCAGCUACCUCAAAUCUAAAACAUAGCUCAGCAAAUAUGAAAAAGUGACUGUCUCUAAGCAGCAAACCAGAAUUCAACCAGGGAGAGGAGACAUACUGCACUCACCUUCGUUGGCCUCUACAGGCUGAACAUCCUCCCAGAACUUCCAGGCAGCACAAGCUGCUGCAGUCCUCCAGCAUCACGUGGAAGGAGCCUUGUUUUCCCAAGGACUGUGCAGGAGAAAGGCAGGAGUGCUGUGGGAUCAAUGCUGAGCACGUCUCUUCCCGAAGCUAUAAAUGUGAAUCAUUUCUCUAUUAUCAUGGUCCGAGGGAAGUAAACGUGCCCGCCUAGAAUUUACGUCCCCAGGUCUCUGCACCAGAAAGGCUAUGAGUGAUCGCCUGCCACAGCACAAGCUGGGGAAAAAACAGACUUUAAAGAUACAGAAAGGGUUGCCUUUCACCAGUUGGUUCUUCUCCAAGUCCAUCCUUUUCAGGUUGUGACAGCACUGGCAGUAAGAUUUGUAAAAGAUCAGGGAGGUCUCUACAGAAGGGGCAAUGCAGCAGGAUGUUGACUCCAACCAUGUGAUGGACACAAAACCAUAAAAGAAGGGUUCUGGGGUAGGAAUUGCAGGUAUUUACUCUUUCCUACUGGUGAGAACGGCGAUGGUGGACCAUCUGGAGAGGGGUAUCUUACAAACCUGUGUUUCUAGCUCAGGAGAAAUCAGUUCAGGAGAUGUCUAUGCUUAUUCAGUGAAAAUAUGUGUCUGAAAUUUACACCCAGAUGUUGAGACCCCAGGGCAGCUGACAAGCCUUGCAUUGGCUUACGACUAAUAUACACCAUCUGUCAAAGUCAGAGAGGAAAACAGCACUUUUCCGCUUUUGGGUUGGGCUGCCUCACCACUGGUCUGGCUGAAUUGGUUUAGAGAAGUGAAAAUCAUACACCUUCUUGAAAUCCAUGAAUCAAAGAAGCCCAUCCAUCCUUUGUGAGGUCUUCAAAGGCUUCAUCCCUUACAUAUGGCUACUUUAAAAGGAAGGAACAGAGGAGUGAUCACCUGGACACAGAGCAGCACUGACAGACUCCUGACUCCAGGUUCUUGGAAGGAAUGCUUUUCUAUGGCAUAGAAGAACAGCUGUCCCCAUGAAGUGGAGGACUAGAAUUAAAAACUCAAGAUGCAUGAAGUUCUUGCAUCCUUAGGGCACAAGAGGGAUGCCUGAAACAUUUUCAGUCCAUAGGACCUACAUAAACAUCCCUAUGGCCCACCUCAGCCAGUUUUCUACCAGAGAUAUCUGAACCCUAGAAAUCUUCCAGCACAGAUGGCUCUAGGCAAUGUGAGCCCAGAGAGAAAAGCAAACAGAAGAAAAGGUCAGGUAGCAGCAAAAACAAUCCUUCCCUCCUGACAAGCAUUCCUGUCACAAGAAAAACAGCAAAACCGAGAUGUCCCAUACAAAAAUCCUGAGAUGUUCUCCCCCUCCUAAGGGUUCUGGACCCAGGACCUCCUUAUCUGCCAGUGUUUCUCUUCUCCUCCAGAUAGUAUCCAGAGAAAUCAACCCAUUAAAAGCAGCUGUUUUGGGCUCUUUCACCUUGGAUUCACAAAUGCUUCCACCUCCUCUUCUCACAAAUCUGUCCUUCCCUGAACAGUCUGGGCCAUACUUCAGGAUGUCAUCCCAAAACAGAAACCAGCUGCAAGACCCAGCUAUCUGCAUCUCCCUGCCCAUCACUGAACUGCAGUCACAGUGGGGGGCUGAAAAACGUGCUUCAAGCAUCAGUCAGCAGGUUACUCCUCUCUGCACUCAGACCUGCCCAGCAUUCAAAGCAAGGCAGCCUCCAGCUGGGUUCUGCAUUCCCUGGCUUAAGCAAGAGCUCCUAUUUCUAUGCAUGUCCUAGUUUCUGGUCAUAAUUCAGUGGUACAUUAAGAUCAAGGCUGGUUUGACUACCUGUAUGCAUUUAGAGAGGAUUUCUGCAGAAGAAGCUUUUAAAAGCAGCAAUUCACUUGGCUGUGAAGCUAACUUCAGGUUUGCUGUUGUUGUUUU